CCUACGGGGGGCAGCAGUGGGGAAUAUUGCACAAUGGGCGCAAGCCUGAUGCAGCCAUGCCGCGUGUAUGAAGAAGGACUUCGGGUUGUAAAGUACUUUCAGCGGGGAGGAAGGUGUUGUGGUUAAUAACCGCAGCAAUUGACGUUACCCGCAGUAGAUGCACCGGCUGACUCCGUGCCAGCAGCCGAGGUAAUACGGAGGGUGCAAGCGUCAAUCGGAAUUACUGGGCGUAAAGCGCACGCAGGCGGUCUGUCCAGUCGGAUGUGAAAUCCCCGGGCUCAACCUGGGAACUGCAUUCGAAACUGGCAGGCUAGAGUCUUGUAGAGGGGGGUAGAAUUCCAGGUGUAGCGGUGAAAUGCGUAGAGAUCUGGAGGAAUACCGGUGGCGAAGGCGGCCCCCUGGACAAAGACUGACGCUCAGGUGCGAAAGCGUGGGGAGCAAACAGGAUUAGAUACCCGAGUAGUC
rnacentral:rRNA from 1 species